UUACGCCAGCAUCCUAGCCGAAGCGCGGACCUCAGUCCCGGCUGGCCGUAUUACACCCUGGGCUAUAACACCUCCACCGAAGUGGAGGCCACAUUCCCAGAGCCUUUAUCCGGCCGCCGAAACUGAUGCUGGCCUGUCCAAACUGAGUAAACCGGUCAGAAGACCGGCCGAACAGUUUAAACAAGUCUGAUUGCAAGCGCUUCCCUUUCAACAAUUUCACGUGCUUUUUAACUCUCUUUCCAAAGUGCUUUUCAUCUUUCGAUCACUCUACUUGUGCGCUAUCGGUCUCUCGCCAAUAUUUAGCUUUAGAAGAAAUUUACCUCCCAUUUAGAGCUGCAUUCCCAAACAACUCGACUCGUCGAAGGAGAUUUACAUAGGGUGCCAUUUCCUGUCACAUACGGGAUUCUCACCCUCUAUGACGUCCUGUUCCAAGGAACUUAGACAGGCGGCUUCCCCAAAUCAUCCUCUACAAAUUACAAUGCGAACCCGAAGGCUAGCUUUCAAAUUUGAGCUGUUGCCGCUUCACUCGCCGUUACUAGGGCAAUCCCUGUUGG
rnacentral:rRNA from 1 species